CUUCUUUUUUUCAAAAAUUUCUGGAGUAUGAUUGUGAGAAAAAAAACUGUCGAAGUAUUCAUUCAAUUCUCUACAGAGUUUCAAGAACUUUCUUUAGAAUUUAAGACUCAAAUCAGCUGAAGUAUUUUGUUAUUUUUUAUUAUUGUUGUUGCAUAUCACCCACAACAAUUCCAAAUUGGUCUAAAGACGCAAGCUUCAACAAUGGUUCCAAUUUCUUGUUAUGUUCCAACAUUAGAGUCUCAAAUGCCUACCGGUAGACACAAAGUUUCUCUAUUUAGUAGAUGAAUGAGGACAAGAAAAUCUUAAAAGAGCAAAGCUGGAUGAUUUUUAGAGCUUGAAUCACAUAGGAGUGUAAAGAGCCCACCAUAUGAAAUUGAUAGAAAUUAUGGGACAACAUUUUGUAUGCGGCAUGAUCUCAAACUACUUAAUGGCGAUGGACUAAGAGUACCUAACUUUAGAAUCGCUCCCGCUUACUUGGUAGUGGCCAAAAUAGAAAUUUCCACUAUAUAGAAGAGGGAAGCAAGGGACGACCAAGGCCAAAAUGGUAAUUUUACACGAACAAAGGCAAUAAUCUCCACAACUCUAGAGCACAUGAGCUCUAGAAUCAUCCGAUGCUAGAUAUAUAACCCACACCGCUCUAGAAUCAUUUGAUGCAAGAAAUUAACCCACGAGUUGCAUUUGCUUCAAAAUCUUAUCUGGAAUGCUUCAAAUGUUCUAAAUUUAAAGAUGAGCAAGUGCUCUAGGAACAACUUAAGAGAGCAUGAUUGGCACCCAGUUGGAUCAAGCGACUUUGGAUAACCUUCUCCUCCCCGUCACCGGUUGGAUCAAGUUAUUUAUAUGAUGUGACUUCAGUUCUUAGGUUAUUGAAAUCAUUCAUCAGCAAAGAGGCGUGUUUUGUUCCCUUAACUCGAAUAAGGAAAAUUACAAGCUUAAUAGAUUUUGAGGUAUGUUGUGUUCAGUUAACUCGAAUGAGGAAAAUUACAAGCUUGAUAGAUUUGAACAUAACCGAAGUAGCUCCUCAUCCAUGUCUAAAACCUUCCAAGUGCCUUGCCCUGGUCAGAUCGCUCCCGAGUCUGCUAGGGACUCGUAUGAUGCAAUAUACUAUGCCAAGGUUAUGUAUCUUGAGGUCGGUCGAAGGUUAUCUGAAGUCAAAAAGAUGAAAGUAUGUAGUGGGCUGAGCUACGAGAAGCUGUCAUUUGAGGCUUGUAAUAAAAAUUUCCCUUCAAAAUCUCCUGGACAAGCUCUCAUCACUUAGCAAGUGAAGCUCUAAAGCUUGCUUCAAGAAACCAAUCAAGUCAGCUCGAUUCUCCCUUUAGUUUUGUGGAAACAGAAAAUUCAGGAAACAAAGAUCAGCAGAUCGUGUUAUACGCAGGAAAGCUGGAUCUUUCAAUUGAGAAUGAGAAGCUCAAAGAACAUUUACAAGGUAUGCAAUGGAGAGUGCUAGAAUUGGAAAAAGUUUGUAGGAAAAUACAAAAUCAAAUGGCAAAGAUCUUGAAAUCAAGAGUAUCAAGCCAUAACUAUGCCAGAUCAUUACCUCGACUAUGUUCUUGAAUGAUAUUAUGAAAUCCAAUCAUUUUAACUUACUUUAUUAAUAUUAUUUUUUGAAUUUUUGUCUCAAUGUAAAAAAAAUUAGUGCUUUGUUUAAAUAGCAAAAAGUACUACUGCUACUACU